CGGGGGCAGACAGCUAUUUGAGAGCAUAUGAACAAGCUUUACGUGAAGAGCAAACACUCGAGAGAGUAAACUGCGAGGCGACCGAAACAGGCGCUCUGCGUGAUCAGCAACAGCAUCCCCUAACUCAGGAAAUUCCGGACUGCGUGCUGCUUCAAUACUCUGAGGGCUCCAACGUUGUCCGCCAAGAAGAAUUUUCAAAUGACCAAGAUCAUGCAGCCGCAUACA